rnacentral:rRNA from 1 species
GACGAACGCUGGCGGCGUGCUUAACACAUGCAAGUCGAACGGAAAGGCCCUGCUUUUGUGGGGUGCUCGAGUGGCGAACGGGUGAGUAACACGUGAGUAACCUGCCCUUGACUUUGGGAUAACUUCAGGAAACUGGGGCUAAUACCGGAUAGGAGCUCCUGCUGCAUGGUGGGGGUUGGAAAGUUUCGGCGGUUGGGGAUGGACUCGCGGCUUAUCAGCUUGUUGGUGGGGUAGUGGCUUACCAAGGCUUUGACGGGUAGCCGGCCUGAGAGGGUGACCGGCCAAAUUGGGACUGAGAUACGGCCCGGACUCCUACGGGAGGCAGCAGUGGGGAAUAUUGCACAAUGGGCGGAAGCCUGAUGCAGCAACGCCGCGUGCGGGAUGACGGCCUUCGGGUUGUAAACCGCUUUCGCCUGUGACGAAGCGUGAGUGACGGUAAUGGGUAAAGAAGCACCGGCUAACUACGUG